rnacentral:tRNA from 1 species
AGGCGCGUAGCUCAGUUGGUUAGAGCGCUUGCUUGACAGGCAAGAGGUCAACAGUUCGACUCUGUUCGUGCCUACCA